GCCUGCUUCAGCUCCGUCUCCGUCCAGUCUUCUUCAGGUUUGUUGGAUUCAACACCGUAUUUUCCCUUGACCUUUGGCUCAGUCCAUUCUGAAAUGAUUGACUUCCAGCCAUGGCAUUGAUACCUCGGAUGGUUGACCUCAUCAUUGACUUACACAGCCUAUAGUUGGUCGCAUCCAAAAUCACCUUGCAGUGGACACACGUUCAUGAUAGUUUUUCAUUUCUUUCCCAAGGUCUCAC
rnacentral:lncRNA from 1 species